rnacentral:miRNA from 1 species
GACAGUCAGCAGUUGGUCUG